CAGCAGAACCUCCUCUUUGAGGGCCAAGGUAACCUCCAGGUGUCUAAUAUCCACCUCUUUACGCUGCCUGCUUAGUUCACACCAUGUAUCACACUAUUGUGUACAGUGCACCGGAAUCCUCCGUCAGAGUACCAUCAUCCAUUGUGGCCAUCUAAUUGUCAACGCCGAAAGCCAGCAGGAGUUCUAAGUUCACUAUCUAGUCAUCAACCAUUAAACGAUUUUGAAGUUUGACUUUUAUUGAUACAUGUUUUCACAGAUUAAAAUUAAAAUAAAAACACUAGACCAAGAUAGAUGUCAAAAUUCUACACACAAAUAAUUUAAUGGCUGAGAACAACGCAAUGGUUACCCUGACGUUCGCGACACAACGUAAGGGAAACCGCUCCCACAACCAAGGCUUCUUUAACUUUAC
rnacentral:lncRNA from 1 species